CCUACGGGUGGCAGCAGUGAGGAAUAUUGGUCAAUGGGCGUAAGCCUGACCCAGCCAAGUCGCGUGAGGGAUGAAGGUUCUAUGGAUCGUAACCCUCUUUUAUAAGGGAAUAAAGUGUGGGACGUGUCCUGUUUUGUAUGUACCUUAUGAAUAAGGAUCGGCUAACUCCGUGCCAGCAGCCGCGGUAAUAUGGAGGAUCCGAGCGUUAUCCGGAUUUAGUGGGUUUAAAGGGUGCGUAGGCGGCCGUUUAAGUCAGCGGUGAAAGUCUGUGGCUCAACCAUAGAAUUGCCGUUGAAACUGGGAGGCUUGAGUAUGUGUGAGGCAGGCGGAAUGCGUGGUGUAGCGGUGAAAUGCUUAGAUAUCACGCAGAACCCCGAUGGCGAAGGCAGACUGCCAAGCCAUGACUGACGCUGAUGCACGAAAGCGUGGGGAGCAAACAGGAUUAGAUACCCGAGUAGUC
rnacentral:rRNA from 1 species